UACGAAGGGGGCAAGCGUUGUUCGGAGUUACUGGGCGUAAAGGGCGUGUAGGCGGUUUAUCAAGUCAGGCGUGAAAGCCCCGGGCUCAACUCGGGAACUGCGUUUGGGACUGAUAGGCUAGAGGACAGGAGAGGUGCGUGGAAUUCCCAGUGUAGAGGUGAAAUUCGUAGAGAUUGGGAAGAACACCGGUGGCGAAGGCGGCGCACUGGCCUGUUUCUGACGCUGAGGCGCGAAAGCAUGGGGAGCAAACAGG
rnacentral:rRNA from 1 species